rnacentral:rRNA from 1 species
AACGAACGCUGGCGGCAGGCCUAACACAUGCAAGUCGAACGCUGUAGCAAUACAGAGUGGCAGACGGGUGAGUAACGCGUGGGAACCUUCCCAGUGGUGCGGAAUAGCUCAGGGAAACUUGAGGUAAUACCGCAUAAGCCCCUAGGGGAAAGAUUUAUCGCCAUUGGAUGGGCCCGCGUCGGAUUAGCUAGUUGGUGAGGUAAUGGCUCACCAAGGCAACGAUCCGUAGCNGGUUUGAGAGAAUGACCAGCCACACUGGGACUGAGACACGGCCCAGACUCCUACGGGAGGCAGCAGUGGGGAAUCUUGGACAAUGGGCGCAAGCCUGAUCCAGCCAUGCCGCGUGAGUGACG